rnacentral:rRNA from 1 species
UUGGUGGGGUGAUGGCCUACCAAGGCGACGACGGGUAGCCGGCCUGAGAGGGUGUCCGGCCACACUGGGACUGAGAUACGGCCCAGACUCCUACGGGAGGCAGCAGUGGGGAAUAUUGCACAAUGGGCGCAAGCCUGAUGCAGCGACGCCGCGUGGGGGGUGACGGCCUUCGGGUUGUAAACCUCUUUCACCAUCGGCGAAGCCGGGAGCUUUUGUUUCUGGUGACGGUAGGUGGAGAAGAAGCACCGGCCAACUACGUGCCAGCAGCCGCGGUAAUACGUAGGGUGCGAGCGUUGUCCGGAAUUACUGGGCGUAAAGAGCUCGUAGGUGGUUUGUCGCGUUGUCCGUGAAAUUCCCUGGCUUAACUGGGGGCGUGCGGGCGAUACGGGCAGACUGGAGUACUGCAGGGGAGACUGGAAUUCCUGGUGUAGCGGUGGAAUGCGCAGAUAUCAGGAGGAACACCGGUGGCGAAGGCGGGUCUCUGGGCAGUAACUGACGCUGAGGAGCGAAAGCGUGGGGAGCGAACAGGAUUAGAUACCCUGGUAGUCCACGCCGUAAACGGUGGGUACUAGGUGUGGGUUUCCUUCCUUGGGAUCCGUGCCGUAGCUAACGCAUUAAGUACCCCGCCUGGGGAGUACGG